AGAGUUUGAUCCUGGCUCAGGAUGAACGCUAGCGGCAGGCUUAACACAUGCAAGUCGAACGGUAACAGGGAAAAGCUUGCUUUUCUGCUGACGAGUGGCGAACGGGUGCGUAACACGUAUGCAACUUACCUUUAACAGGGGGAUAGCCCAGAGAAAUCUGGAUUAAUACCCCAUAACAUUAUCAUUUCGCAUGUUAUGAUAAUUAAAACUCCGGUGGUUAGAGAUAGGCAUGCGUCCCAUUAGUUAGUUGGUAAGGUAACGGCUUACCAAGGCAGCGAUGGGUAGGGGGUCUGAGAGGAUGAUCCCCCACACUGGUACUGAGACACGGACCAGACUCCUACGGGAGGCAGCAGUGAGGAAUAUUGGGCAAUGGACGCAAGUCUGACCCAGCCAUGCCGCGUGCAGGAAGAAUGCCCUAUGGGUUGUAAACUGCUUUUAUAUACCAAGAAACGCAGGUACGUGUACCUGUCUGACGGUAGUAUAUGAAUAAGCACCGGCUAACUCCGUGCCAGCAGCCGCGGUAAUACGGAGGGUGCAAGCGUUAUCCGGAUUUAUUGGGUUUAAAGGGUUCGUAGGCGGGACUUUAAGUCAGUGGUGAAAGCCUAUAGCUCAACUAUAGAAUUGCCAUUGAUACUGAAGUUCUUGAGUACACUUGAAGUUAGCGGAAUGUAUCAUGUAGCGGUGAAAUGCAUAGAUAUGAUACAGAACACCGAUUGCGAAGGCAGCUAACUAAAUUGUCACUGACGCUGAGGAACGAAAGCGUGGGGAGCGAACAGGAUUAGAUACCCUGGUAGUCCACGCUGUAAACGAUGAUCACUCGAUAUUGGCCUUUAUGGUCAGUGUGCGGCCCAGCGAAAGUGAUAAGUUACUCCGCCUGGGGAGUACGGCCGCAAGGUUAAAACUCAAAUGAAUUGACGGGGGCCCGCACAAGCGGUGGAGCAGGUGGUUUAAUUCGAUGAUACGCGAGUGACCUUACCAGGGCUUAAAUGUAGUCUGACAGCUUUAGAGAUAGAGUUUUCUUCGGACAGAUUACAAGGUGCUGCAUGGUUGUCGUCAGCUCGUGCCGUGAGGUGUCAGGUUAAGUCCUAUAACGAGCGCAACCCCUGUCGUUAGUUGCCAGCAAGUAAAGUUGGGGACUCUAACGAGACUGCCUACGCAAGUAGAGAGGAAGGUGGGGAUGACGUCAAAUCAUCACGGCCCUUACGUCCUGGGCCACACACGUGCUACAAUGGUAUGGACAGAGAGCAGCCACUGGGUGACCAGGAGCGAAUCUACAAACCAUAUCACAGUUCGGAGCGGAGGCGGCAACGCGACUCCGUGAAGCUGGAAUCGCUAGUAAUCGGAUAUCAGCCAUGAUCCGGUGAAUACGUUCCCGGGCCUUGUACACACCGCCCGUCAAGCCAUGGAAGCUGGGAGUACCUGAAGUCGGUCACCGCAAGGAGCCGCCUAGGGUAAAACUGGUAACUAGGGCUAAGUCGGAACAAGGUAGCC
rnacentral:rRNA from 1 species